GCUUCCUUUCACACCAUUUAAUAAGUUCAUGACUCAUGAUGAUGUUGUUAGAAAUAACUCUACCUGGAACAAAUGCAUACUGGCUAGCAUGUACAAGCAAAUCCAUCACUUGCUUCAUUCUAUGAGUCAAAACUUUAGAGAUGAGUUUGUAUAGCAAGGUACAACAAGUAGGUUCUGCUCCUUAGGGAUCAGUCUGAUGGUUGUGCAAUUACAACUGUCCAGUACUAAAGAAGUGCAGUCCUGCACAUAUAACCUUUUCUCCAAAUAUGUCCCAUGCCCUUUUGAAAAAUCAAGCAUUAUAGCCAUCAAAUCUUGGGGCUUUGGAGUCAUUAAUAUCAUUUAGGGCCUUUAUAGCUUCCUCUUUAGUGACAGGUUCUAUCAGACCAAGUUGAUGCUUCCUUCCCGACACAGGGCCUUGUUGCCUAACAUGAGAGGCAAUACUAACCUGUUAUGGUGCUGCAGUAACUAAUAAACCUUUGUAGAAACUGAAUAUUUCAGUUGUGACCUCCUCCUUUGUUAGCAUCACUCCGUUUGCAUCUUUUGAUAGUGCUGUGACUCACUAUACUCUUCAAGCUUGCAUAAUAGUAGGAUUUAUUAGUCUCUCCAAGUUGUAACCAAUGCAUUCUAGAUUUCUCCUUCAAUACACUUUCAGCAAUGUUAUUUUACUUUUCAAGCUGCA
rnacentral:lncRNA from 1 species